rnacentral:rRNA from 1 species
UACGACUACAUAUCAGGCAUAUCAAUAAGCGGAGGAAAAGAAACUAACUAGGAUUCCCUCAGUAACGGCGAGUGAAGCGGGAAGAGCUCAAAUUUGAAAUCUUCAAGGUUUUACCUUGACGAAUUGUAGUUUAAAGAAAUGUUUUCUGUUGGAGUUUCGGUAAAAGUUCUUUGGAAUAGGACAUCAUAGAGGGUGAGAAUCCCGUAUUUGACCAUUACUUCCAGCGUUGUGAUGCACUUUCAAAGAGUCGGAUUGUUUGGGAAUGCAGUCCAAAAUGGGUGGUAAAUUUCAUCUAAAGCUAAAUAUUGGCGAGAGACCGAUAGCGAACAAGUACCGUGAGGGAAAGAUGAAAAGAACUUUGAAAAGAGAGUUAAACAGUACGUGAAAUUGUCAAAAGGGAAGCGUUUGACACCAGUGUUGUUUCUCUCGAAAAUCAAUUAAAAAUGACCGGAUUUUGUGUUGUAUUGACUUUAUCAGCUUUCUGCACUUUUUUCUUGUCUUUUUUAAUGCACUUUUCGUUUAACAAGUCAGCAUCAGUUUCUUUUGUUGUAAAAGAGUCAUUGGAAGGUGGCUUUCUUUUCGGAGAAAGUGUUUAUAGCCUUUGACUCCUGCAAUCGGAGAGACUGAGGUCUGCAGCGUAGAUCCUUUGGGAUUAGAUGCAUUUGUGCUAAGUUAUAGCUUUUCAUAGACAACAUUGUUGACUAUGAUUAGUCAUUGUAGCUUACUCGCUUAUGUAAUUUUACCUACGCUUAGGAUGUUGACGCGCGUGUGUGCGUG